AACGAACGCUGGCGGCAGGCCUAACACAUGCAAGUCGAGCGCGCCCUUCGGGGUGAGCGGCGGACGGGUUAGUAACGCGUGGGAAUGUACCCUUCUCUAAGGAAUAGCCUCUGGAAACGGAGAGUAAUACCUUAUACGCCCUUCGGGGGAAAGAUUUAUCGGAGAGGGAUCAGCCCGCGUUAGAUUAGAUAGUUGGUGGGGUAACGGCCUACCAAGUCUACGAUCUAUAGCUGGUUUUAGAGGAUGAUCAGCAACACUGGGACUGAGACACGGCCCAGACUCCUACGGGAGGCAGCAGUGGGGAAUCUUAGACAAUGGGGGCAACCCUGAUCUAGCCAUGCCGCGUGAGUGAAGAAGGCCCUAGGGUCGUAAAGCUCUUUCGCCUGUGAAGAUAAUGACGGUAGCAGGUAAAGAAACCCCGGCUAACUCCGUGCCAG
rnacentral:rRNA from 1 species